GGACUACUAGGGUUUCUAAUCCUGUUUGCUCCCCACGCUUUCGCACCUCAGCGUCAGUACCGGGCCAGUGAGCCGCCUUCGCCACUGGUGUUCUUGCGAAUAUCUACGAAUUUCACCUCUACACUCGCAGUUCCACUCACCUCUCCCGGACUCGAGCCUCCCAGUAUCGAAGGCAGUUCUGGAGUUGAGCUCCAGGAUUUCACCUCCGACUUAAGAAGCCGCCUACGUGCGCUUUACGCCCAGUAAUUCCGAGCAACGCUAGCCCCCUUCGUAUUACCGCGGCGGCUGGCAC
rnacentral:misc_RNA from 1 species